GAAACGGCGUCCCAGUUCGGAUUGCAGCCUGCAACUCGGCUGCAUGAAGCUGGAAUCGCUAGUAAUCGCGGAUCAGAAUGCCGCGGUGAAUACGUUCCCGGGUCUUGUACACACCGCCCGUCACACCAUGGGAGUCGGGAAUGCCCGAAGUCAGUGACCCAACCGAAAGGGGGGAGCUGCCGAAGGCAGGCCUGGUAACUGGGGUGAAGUCGUAACAAGGUAUC
rnacentral:rRNA from 1 species